UACGUAGGUCCCGAGCGUUGUCCGGAUUUAUUGGGCGUAAAGCGAGCGUAGACGGCGAUGCAAGUCUGAAGUGAAAGGCGGGGGCCCAACCCCCGGACUGCUUUGGAAACUGUAUGGCUGGAGUGCAGGAGAGGUAAGUGGAAUUCCUAGUGUAGCGGUGAAAUGCGUAGAUAUUAGGAGGAACACCAGUGGCGAAGGCGGCUUACUGGACUGUAACUGACGUUGAGGCUCGAAAGCGUGGGGAGCAAACAGG
rnacentral:rRNA from 1 species